UGGGGAAUAUUGGACAAUGGGCGCAAGCCUGAUCCAGCCAUGCCGCGUGAGUGAUGAAGGCCCUAGGGUUGUAAAGCUCUUUUGUGCGGGAAGAUAAUGACUGUACCGCAAGAAUAAGCCCCGGCUAACUUCGUGCCAGCAGCCGCGGUAAUACGUAGGGGGCAAGCGUUGUCCGGAUUUACUGGGUGUAAAGGGCGCGCAGGCGGAAUGGAAAGUCAGUGGUGAAAUCCUACAGCUUAACUGUAGAACUGCCUUUGGUACUUUCAUUCUUGAGUUCGGGAGAGAGAGACGGAAUUCCAGGUGUAGCGGUGAAAUACGUAGAUAUCUGGAAGAACACCGGUUUCGAAGGCGGUAUCUUGGUCCGAUACUGACGCUGAGGCGCGAAAGCGUGGGGAGCAAACA
rnacentral:rRNA from 1 species